GAUGAACGCUAGCUACAGGCUUAACACAUGCAAGUCGAGGGGUAACGAGAGGAAAGCUUGCUUUCCUUGUCGACGACCGGCGCACGGGUGAGUAACGCGUAUCCAACCUGCCCCCAACUAGGGAAUAACCUUGCGAAAGUAAGACUAAUACCCUAUAAUUUCCUCAGAUGACAUCUGACGAGGAAUAAAGAUUUAUCGGCUGUGGAUGGGGAUGCGUCUGAUUAGCUUGUUGGCGGGGUAACGGCCCACCAAGGCAACGAUCAGUAGGGGUUCUGAGAGGAAGGUCCCCCACAUUGGAACUGAGACACGGUCCAAACUCCUACGGGAGGCAGCAGUGAGGAAUAUUGGUCAAUGGGCGGAAGCCUGAACCAGCCAAGUAGCGUGCAGGAUGACGGCCCUAUGGGUUGUAAACUGCUUUUAUACAGGAAUAAAGUUAGCCACGUGUGGUUAUUUGUAGGUACUGUAUGAAUAAGGACCGGCUAAUUCCGUGCCAGCAGCCGCAGUAAGAC
rnacentral:rRNA from 1 species